rnacentral:rRNA from 1 species
AAUGAACGCUAGCGAUAGGCUUAACACAUGCAAGUCGAGGGGUAACAUGGGAGUAGCUUGCUACUUCUGAUGACGACCGGCGGAUGGGUGAGUAACGCGUAUGCAACUUGCCUCUUAGUGGGGAGUAACCCGGAGAAAUCCGGACUAAUACCGCAUACACUUAGUUAUCCGCAUGGAUGAUUAAGGAAAGGUUUAUUGCUAAGAGAUAGGCAUGCGUUCCAUUAGUUAGUUGGUGAGGUAACGGCUCACCAAGGCAUCGAUGGAUAGGGGAGCUGAGAGGCUUAUCCCCCACAUCGGGACUGAGACACGGCCCAA